UACGUAGGGUGCAAGCGUUGUCCGGAAUUAUUGGGCGUAAAGAGCUCGUAGGCGGUUUGUCGCGUCUGCUGUGAAAUCCCGAGGCUCAACCUCGGGCUUGCAGUGGGUACGGGCAGACUAGAGUGCGGUAGGGGAGACUGGAAUUCCUGGUGUAGCGGUGGAAUGCGCAGAUAUCAGGAGGAACACCGGUGGCGAAGGCGGGUCUCUGGGCCGUAACUGACGCUGAGGAGCGAAAGCGUGGGGAGCGAACAGG
rnacentral:rRNA from 1 species